GACGAACGCUGGCGGCGUGCUUAACACAUGCAAGUCGAACGGAAAGGCCCUGCUUUUGUGGGGUGCUCGAGUGGCGAACGGGUGAGUAACACGUGAGUAACCUGCCCUUGACUUUGGGAUAACUUCAGGAAACUGGGGCUAAUACCGGAUAGGAGCUCCUGCUGCAUGGUGGGGGUUGGAAAGUUUCGGCGGUUGGGGAUGGACUCGCGGCUUAUCAGCUUGUUGGUGGGGUAGUGGCUUACCAAGGCUUUGACGGGUAGCCGGCCUGAGAGGGUGACCGGCCACAUUGGGACUGAGGUACGGCCCAGACUCCGACGGGAGGCAGCAGUGGGGAAUAUUGCACAAUGGGCGGAAGCCUGAUGCAGCAACGCCGCGUGCGGGAUGACGGCCUUCUGGUUGUAAACCGCUUUCGCCUGUGACGAAGCGUGAGUGACGGUAAUGGGUAAAGAAGCACCGGCUAACUACGUG
rnacentral:rRNA from 1 species